rnacentral:rRNA from 1 species
CUGAAAGAUGGCGUAAGCUAUCGCUUUUGGAUGGACCCGCGGCGUAUUAGCUAGUUGGUGAGGUAAUGGCUCACCAAGGCGAUGAUACGUAGCCGAACUGAGAGGUUGAUCGGCCACAUUGGGACUGAGACACGGCCCAAACUCCUACGGGAGGCAGCAGUAGGGAAUCUUCCACAAUGGACGCAAGUCUGAUGGAGCAACGCCGCGUGAGUGAAGAAGGCUUUUGGGUCGUAAAACUCUGUUGUUGGAGAAGAAUGGUCGGCAGAGUAACUGUUGUCGGCGUGACGGUAUCCAACCAGAAAGCCACGGCUAACUACGUGCCAGCAGCCGCGGUAAUACGUAGGUGGCAAGCGUUAUCCGGAUUUAUUGGGCGUAAAGCGAGCGCAGGCGGUUUUUUAAGUCUGAUGUGAAAGCCCUCGGCUUAACCGAGGAAGCGCAUCGGAAACUGGGAAACUUGAGUGCAGAAGAGGACAGUGGAACUCCAUGUGUAGCGGUGAAAUGCGUAGAUAUAUGGAAGAACACCAGUGGCGAAGGCGGCUGUCUGGUCU